UUCACUUAUGUACCAAGCAUUAAUAAAAAAAAAUUCUGUUCUUAUCAGCUUAAUAUCUGGUACGGGUCCUAUUUGGACCCAAGAUAUUCAACUCAUUUUUGGAAUCCGCCUUUU
rnacentral:snRNA from 1 species